rnacentral:rRNA from 1 species
CCUACGGGUGGCAGCAGUGAGGAAUAUUGGUCAAUGGGCGCGAGCCUGAACCAGCCAAGUCGCGUGAGGGAUGACGGUCCUACGGAUUGUAAACCUCUUUUGCCGGGGAGCAAGCGUGCGUUCGUGAACGCGCGUCGAGAGUACCCGGAGAAAAAGCAUCGGCUAACUCCGUGCCAGCAGCCGCGGUAAUACGGAGGAUGCGAGCGUUAUCCGGAUUUAUUGGGUUUAAAGGGUGCGUAGGCGGUCUGUUAAGUCAGCGGUAAAAGCGCGGGGCUCAACCCCGGCCCGCCGUUGAAACUGGCAGUCUUGAGUUGGAGAGAAGUAUGCGGAAUGCGUGGUGUAGCGGUGAAAUGCAUAGAUAUCGCGCAGAACUCCGAUUGCGAAGGCAGCAUGCCGGCGCCACACUGACGCUGAGGCACGAAAGCGUGGGUAUCGAACAGGAUUAGAUACCCGGGUAGUC